UAUCUACUAAUGCUUUCUUAAAAGACCACUAUAUUCCAAUCAGAAUUUCUAGAAAUAUCUUACAUCUUCCUAUACCCUUAUUUGUCUCCUGCAUUUUUCCUCCAACUGCUGUUUUACCACCAUACUUUGUAUUUGUCCCUUAAGACCAAUCUCAAACACUAUGCUCUUUGUGAAGUCCUUCCUGAUAGCCUCAGUCAAUUCUUUCUUUAUACUUAAUUCCCAUAUUCUUCUACAUAUUAUAUUCUGUCUGGCAUUAUUUGCAUACAACUCUUCUUAUUCUGGUAAGGUCUUUGAGAACACAGUUUCUUAUGCCAUUUUUCUGUCUUCCUCUUACCUUAUAAGCCUUUACAUGAAGCAUUGCUUCUUGAAAGUAACUGAUGCUUACAAAUGAAAUGAAGAAAUGAAAGAAUGAGCCAAUGAAUUGUUAAUAAGAUGAAUUUUCUAAUUGUUCUGGAUAACCCUAUUUGCUCUCCAAGUUUUUACCACAUUGUUCUGAAUCCUGAGAAGCUGACCUCUGCGAAUUGCAUCAGCCAUUCUUGCCCUCUGGUCUCCAAGUGGCAUGGCCAAUGAGAAGGACUUCAAGAAAUAUGAAGUCAGGAGAAGAGAAGAGUAAAGUCACACAGUCAUUUAUUGGGCAGUCCCAUCUAAAGCCCAGGUCUCCAGACUUCAAGUGCAGAACUAGUUCCACCUUGCUGAUGCUACCCAAGUUAGUCUUCAGUGAUUUCUAGACCUAAGAGUUCUGUGAAGCAGAUCACUUGUCUUGCUGAUGAGGCCACCUUGGUCAACAUUAGCACGUGUGAUGAGUGAAGGACAAUGGCUGUUUUCAACACAAGCUACAAGAGGAUAUUCCAUUUGACAUGUAGCUUAUCUGCCCAGAAAAGAGGUUACUUACAAGGAAUCAAAUUGAACCCAGGGGCACUCUACCACUGAGUUACAUCUUCAGCCAUCUUUAUUGUUUGACAUAGGGUCUCAUCAAGUUUCCCAAGCUGGCUUCAAACCUGUUAUGCUCCUGCCUCGGCCUCUCUAGUAUCUGGGAUGACAGGGUCUCAAUGAGUUACCCAGACUGACCUUGAACUUGCUAUCAUCCAGCCUCAGUCUCCCAAUUUGCUGGGAUUACAGGUCAAGAACCAACCAUUAAUUAGGAAUUUUAAAUGUCAGUUAUUAAAUCUGUGGUUGUUGGAAGUGGCCCAUGGGUGAAUAUUUACAACACAGAAAUUGGCAACAACAACAACAACUAGUCAGGGAAAUGCAUUCAAAAGCAUUAAUAAUUUGUGGUUAUUUGA